UAUUCAAAUAGUUUAAUAAAAAUAUUGAUUUGUGAUAUCAAAGUUAUAAUCAUUUAUUUUGGAUAG
rnacentral:tRNA from 2 species